AGAGUUUGAUCAUGGCUCAGGAUGAACGCUAGCGGCAGGCCUAAUACAUGCAAGUCGAACGGAUUGAGGUAGCAAUACUUCAAUUAGUGGCGCACGGGUGCGUAACGCGUAUCAACCUACCUUUUACUGGGGGAUAGCCCGAAGAAAUUCGGAUUAAUACCGCAUAAUAUCACUUGAGGGCAUCUGAGGGUGAUGAAAGAUUUAUUGGUAAGAGAUGGGCAUGCGUGCCAUUAGCUAGUUGGUAGGGUAACGGCCUACCAAGGCGACGAUGGCUAGGGGUUCUGAGAGGAUGAUCCCCCACACUGGUACUGAGAUACGGACCAGACUCCUACGGGAGGCAGCAGUAGGGAAUAUUGGGCAAUGGAGGCAACUCUGACCCAGCCAUGCCGCGUGCAGGAUGAAGGCCUUCUGGGUUGUAAACUGCUUUUAUCUAGGAAGAAAAAACUCUUGCGAGAGGAAUUGACGGUACUAGGUGAAUAAGCACCGGCUAACUCCGUGCCAGCAGCCGCGGUAAUACGGAGGGUGCAAGCGUUGUCCGGAUUUAUUGGGUUUAAAGGGUGCGUAGGCGGCUUAGUAAGUCCGUGGUGAAAGCCAACAGCUCAACUGUUGAACUGCCAUGGAUACUGUUAGGCUUGAGUACAGACGAGGUAGGCGGAAUGGAUGCUGUAGCGGUGAAAUGCAUAGAUAGCAUCCAGAACCCCGAUUGCGAAGGCAGCUUACUAGGCUGUAACUGACGCUGAGGCACGAAAGCGUGGGGAGCGAACAGGAUUAGAUACCCUAGUAGUCC
rnacentral:rRNA from 1 species